rnacentral:rRNA from 1 species
GAUGAACGCUGGCGGCGUGCUUAACACAUGCAAGUUGAACGAUGAUGCCCAGCUUGCUGGGUGGAUUAGUGGCGAACGGGUGAGUAACACGUGAGUAACCUGCCCUUGACUCUGGGAUAAGCCUGGGAAACUGGGUCUAAUACCGGAUACGACCAUCUGGCGCAUGUCAUGGUGGUGGAAAGCUUUUGUGGUUUUGGAUGGACUCGCGGCCUAUCAGCUUGUUGGUGGGGUAAUGGCCUACCAAGGCGACGACGGGUAGCCGGCCUGAGAGGGUGACCGGCCACACUGGGACUGAGACACGGCCCAGACUCCUACGGGAGGCAGCAGUGGGGAAUAUUGCACAAUGGGCGCAAGCCUGAUGCAGCGACGCCGCGUGAGGGAUGACGGCCUUCGGGUUGUAAACCUCUUUCAGUAGGGAAGAAGCGAAAGUGACGGUACCUGCAGAAGAAGCGCCGGCUAACUACGUG